ensembl:lincRNA
AAAAGAAAAAUGUGAGUAAUGGAAGCUAUAUAACAUUUUAUGGAAAAGCAGUUCUCACGAGCAGGAAUAAUCUAUAUUUUUGCCACCACUAAUCAUGUUUACUGAGUAAUUAUUCAACCAUCCACUUUUUAUAAACAAUGUGAAGACAUCUGGCUUUUACAAAUCCCUUAUCACAAUUGGGAUCCACUUCAAUCCAAAUUUCUAAAUAAUAUAAACAGAAUCCCAGCAGUGACUGUUUAUUACAAAUUAAAAGUUACCUUCUAUUGAUACACUCUGGGGCCAAAACUGCAUUAUACUUUGAAGUGAAAGAACCACAGCAGAAGGUCCAUAAUCAUAUGACAACCAAGAGGGCAGUGACUCACUGCUGUGUCUACAGAUGAACACAGCUGCUCUACUGUGUGAGUCUUAGAGGCUGACAGCCUCUAAUCCUGGCGACAGGGACUGGGGUAGGGUAAUUAAAUAGUCAACUCAGAAAUCCCACUAGUGGAUUAAAGGCAGAAAGGGAGUUUGAAGGGAGCUUGAGAGAUGUUACAAGCUUGUACAGUUGUUCUGGUGGGAGUUCUGCUUCAGUUGUGUAACUACAGUCAAGCAUUUCAGUUGGGCGCAACUGAUGGCCGACCUAUAGCCCACAUUAUCGCCAGUGCUUCUCGGACCCUGGAAUACACAAGCAGUGGUUCUCGGCAUUUGACCCUGAAUCUUUUCACCAAAGGUUAUGCAGUGGGACAGAAGAAUCUGGAAAUGAUUUUUGCAAUAACUAAAUGAUACUGAAUUCGGUUCUGGCAAAUGAUAGGAAUGUCCCAAUUUCUAUAGAAGAAAGACCAAAAGCACAAAGAAAGCUGAGCACUAAGGAAUUGAUGCUUUCGAACUGUGGUAUUGGAGAAGGCUCUUGAGAGUCCCUUGGACUGCAAGGAGAUCCAACCAGUCCAUCCUAAAGGAAAUCAGUCCUGAAUAUUCAUUGGAAGGACUGAUGCUGAAGCUGAAGCUCCAAUACUUCGGCCACCUGAUGUGAAGAACCAACUCAUUGGAAAAGACCCUGAUGCUGGGAAAGAUUGAAGGCAGGAGGAGAAGGGGAUGACAGAGGAUGAGAUGGUUGGAUGACAUCACCAACUCAAUGGACAUGAGUCUGAGUAAAAUCCGGGAGUUGGCGAUAGACAGGGAGGCCUGGCGCGCUGUGGUUCAUGGGGUUGUAAAGAGUCAGACACUACUGACCGACUGAACUGAACUGAACACAUUCACCAUUCUUCAAACUGGUCUUCAGGGUCUGCUCUAAAGUAUGUUUCCAGGUAUAUAUUCCAUUGUUUGUGAAAGCAACGUCAUUUGAACAGAAUAACUUAAUGCUUGAGCUAAUAGUGUGUGCAACCAGAUAGGCUGAUUUGCAACUAUGUUUAUUGGAGAAUCAGUUGUAAUUACUAAGAUUCAGGUUCCUUAUCUUUAACUUCCACCCUUUACCCUAAAGACUUGUUAUAAGAAUUUAAUGAAACAGUGUACAUAAAGCACUUAGCAUCAUGACCAGAAUAUCAUCAAGCAAAAUACCUGAUAGAAGCAGAAAAUACUAUUACUAUUAUUUACAUACCUUUUCCAGCAGAGAGUCUUUCUUUUCUCUAUUAUGUCUAUCUGCUUUUUGGAGCUUAGUUUUAAUCUUACCUCCCCUAUUAAUUCUUCUUAGUUCAGCCCACUGGAAGGUGGAUUUCUCAUCUGCAGUCUAUUUAACAGCAUUUCACAUUUACCGCUAGACACUGUUAGGACCAAACUGGAGCCAGGACAGGCUCUAAGGGGCAGGCUAGGCCUGAGGUUUAGUCUCUAGGAAGGCUGAGGCACUGGAAACUCCCACAGGCAGUGUAGCUCGACCAAUCAGAAAAAUCCCCGUAGCCCCUCGCCCAUGCCAGACCCGAGCCAAUCCAGAUAGGGAUGCGAGGUUUAAAAGUCCCACGCGUGCAUAUGGUUUAACCAAUCAGCUAUGCUGUUACAGGAACAAAGAACCAUCUGUAUAAAAGUAGAUGUGAUUCAGAGCUCGGGGCUCUUGUCAGAUUCCACUGUGCUGGAUGAGACCUGGGCCCUAACUCAAGCUAGCAAUAAAC